UACGUAGGCAGCGAGCGUUGUUCGGAGUUACUGGGCGUAAAGGGUGUGUAGGCGGUUCUUUAAGUUUGGUGUGAAAUCUCCCGGCUCAACCGGGAGGGUGCGCCGAAUACUGAGGGACUAGAGUGCGGGAGAGGAAAGUGGAAUUCCUGGUGUAGCGGUGAAAUGCGUAGAUAUCAGGAGGAACACCGGUGGUGUAGACGGCUUUCUGGACCGUAACUGACGCUGAGACACGAAAGCCAGGGGAGCAAACGGG
rnacentral:rRNA from 1 species